rnacentral:tRNA from 1 species
GGAAGGUUGGCCGAGCGGUUUAAGGCACCGGUCUUGAAAACCGGCAGGGGGCAACCCCUCGAGGGUUCGAAUCCCUCACCUUCCG